CGGUCGAGGUCACCGACACGGUAUACAGCAUGAAGGAGGCGGCGGUUGUCUUUCUUCGGCCAUUCUAAUAACUCAGUACUGGGAACUGCAGCUGAGCCUUGAGCCAUUUUUUUUCAACAAGUUCAAAAGCUCUGUAAUAGUAUAUGAAGUUGAACCAUGUAAAAUAAAAAUUUAAACUUUACAAACAGAAAAAAGUUCAUAUUUUUUUCCCCACAUAAUAAAAAUAUGAUUUUGAUCAAAGAGCUUACCAGAGAUUAGAAGAGUGAGUGAGUGAGUUACUGAAUGAAAGAACCGCCUUUUAUUAU
rnacentral:lncRNA from 1 species